GAAAUGCGAUAAGUAAUGUGAAUUGCAGAAUUCAGUGAAUCAUCGAAUCUUUGAACGCACCUUGCGCUCCUUGGUAUUCCUUGGAGCAUGCCUGUUUGAGUAUCAUGAAAUCUUCAAAGUAAAUCUUUUGUUAACUCAAUUGGUUUCUACUUUGGUAUUGGAGGUCUUUGCAGCUUCACACCUGCUCCUCUUUGUUCAUUAGCUGGAUCUCAGUGUUAUGCUUGGUUCCACUCGGCGUGAUAAGUUAUCUAUCGCUGAGGACACUGUAAAAGGUGGCCAAGGUAAAUGCAGAUGAACCGCUUCUAAUAGUCCAUUGACUUGGACAAUACUUUUAUGAUCUGAUCUCAAAUCAGGUAGGACUACCCGCUGAACUUAGC
rnacentral:misc_RNA from 1 species